UAUCCCCUGAUCGUUAGUCUCUCAGAGAUCCAGCCAAUUUCUGUGAGCUCAGCCAACUGAGCUGCAAAUCCAGCAAGCAGGUGAUGAGUUCGGCCACAGGUGGCGCUCUCUCAGAACCUAUUAUUAACCCUUUCCACUGUCCUCUGAGGACGUGUGUAGGAGACAAUCUGAAACAGUGAAGGAAUGAACAAUCUAAUUUGAACAAGCAUGUGGAGGUCUUCAUGAUAUACACAUCCACCUCAACACUACCAUGGGAGCUUGGUUUCACUGAUGUCACCUUCCCUGUCAGCACUGAGAGAAGAGCAGGCAAAAGCUUCCAACCCUCCACAUGUGGCUUUCCCCCGCUGAAGAAAGCCAGAAAGCCACGCCCUCCCCUGCCCGAGUCAGACACCAUUUCCAGCAUCAUGAGGUUGGAGGUGGAGAUAAGAGCCCCAGGUCGGAAAGUUCCACAGAAGCGGCCCAGCUUCUGCACAGUGACAAACGAACUGUGACGAGAGACGUGCUAACGGAAAAGCCCAGAGCAGACUCCUUGAUGGAAACUUACGGAUAUAUUGAUGGCACGUGGCAGGCGUCCUGUGCGGAUCCAGGGGUGAACCCGACUCAGCUCCCGCUUCU